GAUGAACGCUGGCGGCGUGCCUAAUACAUGCAAGUCGAGCGAACGGACGAGAAGCUUGCUUCUCUGAUGUUAGCGGCGGACGGGUGAGUAACACGUGGAUAACCUACCUAUAAGACUGGGAUAACUUCGGGAAACCGUAGCUAAUACCGGAUAAUAUUUUGAACCGCAUGGUUCAAAAGUGAAAGACGGUCUUGCUGUCACUUAUAGAUGGAUCCGCGCUGCAUUAGCUAGUUGGUAAGGUAACGGCUUACCAAGGCAACGAUGCAUAGCCGACCUGAGAGGGUGAUCGGCCACACUGGAACUGAGACACGGUCCAGACUCCUACGGGAGGCAGCAGUAGGGAAUCUUCCGCAAUGGGCGAAAGCCUGACGGAGCAACGCCGCGUGAGUGAUGAAGGCCUUCGGAUCGUAAAACUCUGUUAUUAGGGAAGAACAUAUGUGUAAGUAACUGUGCACAUCUUGACGGUACCUAAUCAGAAAGCCACGGCUAACUACGUGCCAGCAGCCGCGGUAAUACGUAGGUGGCAAGCGUUAUCCGGAAUUAUUGGGCGUAAAGCGCGCGUAGGCGGUUUUUUAAGUCUGAUGUGAAAGCCCACGGCUCAACCGUGGAGGGUCAUUGGAAACUGGAAAACUUGAGUGCAGAAGAGGAAAGUGGAAUUCCAUGUGUAGCGGUGAAAUGCGCAGAGAUAUGGAGGAACACCAGUGGCGAAGGCGACUUUCUGGUCUGUAACUGACGCUGAUGUGCGAAAGCGUGGGGAUCAAACAGGAUUAGAUACCCUGGUAGUCCACGCCGUAAACGAUGAGUGCUAAGUGUUAGGGGGUUUCCGCCCCUUAGUGCUGCAGCUAACGCAUUAAGCACUCCGCCUGGGGAGUACGACCGCAAGGUUGAAACUCAAAGGAAUUGACGGGGACCCGCACAAGCGGUGGAGCAUGUGGUUUAAUUCGAAGCAACGCGAAGAACCUUACCAAAUCUUGACAUCCUUUGACAACUCUAGAGAUAGAGCCUUCCCCUUCGGGGGACAAAGUGACAGGUGGUGCAUGGUUGUCGUCAGCUCGUGUCGUGAGAUGUUGGGUUAAGUCCCGCAACGAGCGCAACCCUUAAGCUUAGUUGCCAUCAUUAAGUUGGGCACUCUAAGUUGACUGCCGGUGACAAACCGGAGGAAGGUGGGGAUGACGUCAAAUCAUCAUGCCCCUUAUGAUUUGGGCUACACACGUGCUACAAUGGACAAUACAAAGGGCAGCGAAACCGCGAGGUCAAGCAAAUCCCAUAAAGUUGUUCUCAGUUCGGAUUGUAGUCUGCAACUCGACUACAUGAAGCUGGAAUCGCUAGUAAUCGUAGAUCAGCAUGCUACGGUGAAUACGUUCCCGGGUCU
rnacentral:rRNA from 1 species